rnacentral:rRNA from 1 species
GAUGAACGCUGGCGGCGUGCCUAAUACAUGCAAGUCGAGCGAACAGAUGAGGAGCUUGCUCCUCUGACGUUAGCGGCGGACGGGUGAGUAACACGUGGAUAACCUCCUAUAAGACUGGGAUAACUUCGGGAAACCGGAGCUAAUACCGGAUAAUAUAUUGAACCGCAUGGUUCAAUAGUGAAAGACGGUUUUGCUGUCACUUAUAGAUGGAUCCGCGCCGCAUUAGCUAGUUGGUAAGGUAACGGCUUACCAAGGCAACGAUGCGUAGCCGACCUGAGAGGGUGAUCGGCCACACUGGAACUGAGACACGGUCCAGACUCCUACGGGAGGCAGCAGUAGGGAAUCUUCCGCAAUGGGCGAAAGCCUGACGGAGCAACGCCGCGUGAGUGAUGAAGGUCUUCGGAUCGUAAAACUCUGUUAUUAGGGAAGAACAAAUGUGUAAGUAACUAUGCACGUCUUGACGGUACCUAAUCAGAAAGCCACGGCUAACUACGUG